CUUAACCUUACUUUUACAAGUGAUUAGGAAUAUUAUUAUUAUUUUAUUUAUUUACAUGUAAAUUCAAACAAUAAAUAUUGUGCUGUGUCAUAAUUUCAAACUCAUUAUGUUGCAGUCUUUUCCAGUUGAUAAAAUUGCAAUUCAAAAACUUUUAGAUUUGCACUGUAUGGAUGGCACAGGAAGAAUACAAGACUACAAGAACAUCUUAUUAUGAAUGUAUAUGUAUGUGAUCCU
rnacentral:lncRNA from 1 species